rnacentral:rRNA from 1 species
CGACCGCUGGCGGCGUGCUUACCACAUGCAAGUCGAACGGAAAGGCCCUGCUUGCAGGGUACUCGAGUGGCGAACGGGUGAGUAACACGUGGGUGAUCUGCCCUGCACUUCGGGAUAAGCCUGGGAAACUGGGUCUAAUACCGGAUAGGAGCCAUUUUUAGUGUGAUGGUUGGAAAGUUUUUUCGGUGUAGGAUGAGCUCGCGGCCUAUCAGCUUGUUGGUGGGGUAAUGGCCUACCAAGGCGGCGACGGGUAGCCGGCCUGAGAGGGUGGACGGCCACAUUGGGACUGAGAUACGGCCCAGACUCCUACGGGAGGCAGCAGGGGGGAAUAUUGCACAAUGGGCGCAAGCCUGAUGCAGCGACGCCGCGUGGGGGAUGACGGCCUUCGGGUUGUAAACUCCUUUCGCUAGGGACGAAGCUUUUUGUGACGGUACCUAGAUAAGAAGCACCGGCUAACUACGUG